AAAGCCUUUUAAAGAAUCUGCUUGGAUUCCAAUAGUGGGUGGCAGGCUGCUUGGUGGAAGAAUGAAGGUCUUUACAUUUACCUGCCAUGUGUUUCAGGUCAUCAGUAACAUGAAGUCAGUCUGUUUGCCUUGAAUUCCAUGCAAGGACAGACAACAAUGGGGCAAGCACUAACCUCAACAGAAGCUUUGGAAAUCUGCAAGAACACUGCUGCUGCCUGCUCAGCAUUGGUCACCACAAAGGCCACCUGUGAAGUCAGCUGAAGUCCCUAUCUGCGCAACCACAAAAUGAACAAACCCAGGAAAAAACCAUAAGGGAGACCGUGAAACAACCAAUGUGCAGAGAAAAUCGUGCUAACGAUAGUUAGUGCCACAGACUAAACACCGCAUUGACGCAGCAAAAUGAUUCCAGGAAACUGUCCUUUGGCUCAAAAUACUGAGAGCUGCUCUGAAAAGGACCGCAGGAACAAUGGAAGAUGCGGAGCACUGGACUGGAUGCAUCACAGGCACGACCCUUCCUGUCAUCUGUACUGCUUCCAGGAGGCAAUAUCUCUUCUCACAGCUACCACUGGGCAGGAGAGACAGAAGCCUGAAGUCCCACACCACAGGUUCGAAAACAGCUACUUCCCUUCAACCAUUCUGUUCUA